UCCGUUGUAGUGUAAUUGGUUAGGAUAUUCGGCUCUCACCCAAAAGACCCAGGUUCAAGUUCCGGCAACAGAA
rfam:Lupinus angustifolius cultivar Tanjil contig_52591, whole genome shotgun sequence.